rnacentral:misc_RNA from 1 species
GUGAAUCAUCAAAUUUUUGAACGCAAAUUGCACUCUCUGGUAUUCCGGAGAGUAUGCCUGUUUGAGGGUCAGUUUAAAUAAAAAUCGUGGCGUUGCUGUCUUGUGACCCAUCGGAAUUGGGUCAUGCUUGACCUUUUAAAUAGUUUAAGUGACAUAACAUUGACACCUCUUGCAUUUCAGACGACUAUCAGAUUCUUCUUUUCUUCGC